rnacentral:rRNA from 1 species
UUUUUUUAUAAAAGUAAUUUAAUUAUUUUAUGUUUUAGUAUUAAGUUAAAAUAAAUUUUAAGAUUUAUAGUUUAAUAGUAUUGUGAAAGAAUUAAAUUAAAUAUUUAAAAGAAUUUUAAAAGUACCUUUUGUAUCAGGGUUAAUUAAAAUUUUUAAUUUAUUUUUAAAUUCUCAAAAUUUAUAGAGUUAAUUUUAUUAUUAAGUUAUUGUAUUAAAAAUAUUUAUAAAAUAAUAUUAGUUUUGAAAUUUAAUUCGUUAUAAAAUAUUUAGUUAUUUAAGAUUUAAAUUUAAUUUAAAAUUUUAAAAGUUUAAAUUAUAUUAUUGAUUUAAAUUUUAAAUUUAAAUUAUUUUAGGGAUAAGCUUGAAAUUUUUAUAUAAUAAUUUUUUUUAUUUUAAAUAAUUUAUAGAAAUAGAAAUUUUUAUUUAAGUUUGUAAAAAUUUAUUAUUUAAUUAAAUAUUUAAUUUAUUAUAAAUUAUUUAUUUAUAUUAUUAAAUUUUAUAAAUUAAUUAAUUAUUUAUAGUAAUAAUGAUUAAAUUAGUAUAAUUAAAAUUUAUAAAUUAUGAAUUCGGCAAAUAUAAUUUUCAUCUGUUAAACAAAAACAUUGUAUUAAGUUUAAUUUAAUAUAGGAUCUGCUCAAUGAUUAAAUUAAAUAGCUGCAGUAUUUUGACUGUGCAAAGGUAGCAUAAUAAUUAGUCUUUUAAUUGGGGACUUGAAUGAAAGAUUUGAUGAGAAAUUAACUUUAUUAUUUAUAUARUUAAAAUUUUAUUUUUAAGUAAAAAAGCUUAAAURAUUUAAAGGGACGAUAAGACCCUAUAAAACUUUAUAAUUUUAAAAUUUUAAAUUUUUGGUUUAUAAAUAUUUAAUUUAUUAAAUUUAUUUAAUUGGGGUGAUAAAAAAAAAUUUUUAACUUUUUUUAAAUUUAAACAUUAAUUUAUGAUUAUUUGAAUUAAAAUUUUUAAUUAAAGGAAAAAGUUACUUUAGGGAUAACAGCGUAAUUAAUUUUUUAAGUUCAAAUUUNAAUAUUAGUUUGCGACCUCGAUGUUGAAUUAAGAUUAAUCUUAGGUGC